UAAGUUUAAAGGGCCGCGGUAAUUUGACCGUGCAAAGGUAGCAUAAUAGUUAGUUUUUUAAUUGGAAUCUUGUAUGAAUGGUUGAACAAGAGAAAUACUGUCUCUAUAAUUAUUAUUGAAUUUAACUUUUAAGUGAGAAGGCUUAAAUUAUUUAAAAAGACGAUAAGACCCUAUAAAGCUUUAUAAGUAAAUUUAUUUAAGUGAAUUAAUAGAAUAAAGAUUUUAAUAAAAUUUUAUUAUUUUGUUGGGGAGAUAAUAUUAUAAUUAAAAAUAACUGUUAAUAAUUAAAACAAAUAUAAGUGUUUAAUGAUAGUAAAAGAUCCUAUUUAGAGAUUAUGAGUUUAAGUUACUUUAGGGAUAACAGCGUUAUUUUUCUUGAGAGUUCAUAUCGAAAGAAUAGAUUGCGACCUCGAUGUUGAAUUAAAAUUUCUAAAUAAUUGCAGAAGUUAUUUUAGAAGGUCUGUUCGACCUUUAAAUUUUUA
rnacentral:rRNA from 1 species